rnacentral:lncRNA from 1 species
GCUCCUGUUGCUAAUCCUAUGGAAGAAUUUGCAAUGUAAGUUUAUAUUGUAUGAAAAUCCCAAAUUGCUUAGAAAAUAAGAAUAGUAGAAACUGAAAAGAAAUUAUAGUUCCAGGUUCUGUGACAACCAAAGAAGCAAUGUCUUUUUAGCUAAAUUAAAUGUCAUUGUUUUGGUUCGUCAUUUUGUAUAUCGAAAAGAAUAAAGUGACCGAGAACAUUUGAGAACGUGAACAUAUGAAGAAUCAGUAACUCAUUAACCUUCUUUGAAUAUGGUCUUCCUCUGACUGAGCUUGUUGGUGAGGAUCAGAGCUAACUCUUGAAGCUUUAAACAACUGCCCCCACUCGUUCACCCAUGAUUCUCAUUUUGAUUCGAGGCAAGUCACAGUGAGAACUGCAGGUCCCUCUAGCUUUUCCCCCACAACUUGGGAAAAUCCUGAAUCCUUAUAAAUUACAAGACAGUCUGCUGUCCUCGGGGCUUCCUUUUUUACUCAUAUUUAGAGAAAAGCAAUAAAAUAAUGUGCUGUGGGAUACUACACAGAGUCCUCUUUUAAAGUGUAUGUCCUUAGAUAUGUUAUAAUGAAAUAGUCGUAGCUCAUUUUGUUCAAAUAUUUUCUUGUAAUGAUUGUCAUAAUUUCAUUUUAGAAGAAGAAGUCAAAGCCCCACCAACACUAUUACACCAAGUAUUCUUGGACCAUUAAAAAGAAAAGCUGAAAUGGCAUUUGAAGAUCAGCCAAAGAGAUUUUUCCAAGGCCCAACCAACGUGCUUCCUUCUGAUACUAACCAGGUGUCUGAUAUGAAUGCCUGGGAGAAGAGCUGGCCUAAUCAGAUAUAGAAUCUCCCCAGUCUGCUCAAGGCAUUGCCAAUCAAAUAGUUCCAUCUAAAACAUCAGAUUAAAAGAAAAGAAGGGGCACGUGCAUUCUCUGACAUUUUUU